rnacentral:rRNA from 1 species
AGCAGCCGCGGUAAUACGGAGGGUGCAAGCGUUACCCGGAUUUACUGGGUGUAAAGGGCGUGUAGGCGGCUUUUCAAGUCCGAUGCUAAAGACUGAGGCUCAACCUCAGGAGUGCGUUGGAUACUGUGAGGCUAGACGGUCGGAGAGGGUAGCGGAAUUCUCGGAGUAGCGGUGAAAUGCGCAGAUACCGAGAGGAACGCCAAUAGCGAAAGCAGCUACCUGGACGAUUAGUGGCGCUGAGGCGCGAAAGCGUGGGGAGCAAACCGGAUUAGAUACCCGGGUAGUCCACGCCCUAAACGAUGAGUGCUGGGUGUCCGGCGUAUGCUGGGUGCCGUAGCUAACGCGUUAAGCACUCCACCUGGGAAGUACGGUCGCAAGACUGAAACUCAAAGGAAUUGACGGGGGCCCGCACAAGCGGUGGAGCAUGUGGUUUAAUUCGAAGCGACGCGAAGAACCUUACCAGGUCUUGACAUGUAAGGAAUCUCCCUGAAAGGGGAGAGUGCCCGCAAGGGAGCCUUAGCACAGGUGCUGCAUGGUCGUCGUCAGCUCGUGUCGUGAGAUGUUGGGUUAAGUCCCGCAACGAGCGCAACCCUAAUC